rnacentral:lncRNA from 1 species
UUUUUUUAAAAGUUUAUUAUUGAGGAGAAAGGAAGAAGGAGGAAGGAAGAGGGAAGUAGGGGAGAAGCGGGGGCCGAGGGGGAGGAGGAGAAGGAGAAGCAGCAGAAGAAGCGGCAGCGGCAGCAGCGGAAGGGGAAGAAGCAGAAGAAAAGCAGAAGAAGAAAAGAAGCAGAAGCAGCAGUAGCAGAAUAAACAGAAGCAGCAGCAGCAGAAGAAACUGAAACAGCAGCAGCAGAAGCAGAAGAAGAAGCAAGAGCAGCAGAAGGAGCAGCAGAAGGAGCAGCAGAAGAAGCAGAAGCAAAAGAAGCAAGAGCAGCAGCAGCACAAGCAGCAGAAGAAGCAGAAACACAAGCAGCAGAAGCAGAAGAAGCAAAAGCAGCAGAAGGAGCAGCAGAAGCAGCAGAAGCAGAAGCAGAAGCUAGAGCAGCAGCAGCACAAGCAGCAGCAGCAGCAGAGGAAACAGAAACAGCAGCAGCAGAAGCCGAAGAAGAAGCAAGAGCAGCAGAAGGAGCAGCAGAAGAAGCAGACGCAGAAGCAGAACCAGAAGAAGCAGGAGCAGCAGCAGGAGAAGCAGCACAAACAGAAGCAGCAGCAAGAGCAGCAGCAGCAGCAGCGGAAGUAGAGGAAGGAGGAGGAGGAGGAAGAAGGAGGAGGAAGGAGGAAGGAGGAGGAGGAAGGAGAAGAAAGAAGGAAGGAGGAAGGAGAAGAAAGAAGGGAGGAGGAAGGAGGGAGGAGGAAGGAGGAAGGAGGAAGGAGGAGAGUCCAAUGAGGCAGAGAUAAUUUCCAGAUCCUAUGAGCUCCCAAGUGGUAUAACUCUCUGCUCACAUUUUUACAAUCGUGUAUAAGCAAUUAAUAUUCAAACCAACAAACAUUCACAGUGUAUGUACUAUGUGCAAAGCAUGCUGAGAAAGUAGGGUAGCAGAAUCUAAUCUUUUCUGGUCAAAGAAUACCUUGAAACCAGAUAAAAGGUAUAAUCUCCAGAAAAACUCACAUUCACACAAAAUUUAACUUACAACCUUAGCUAAUAAUAUUCUCAUAUCAUGGCUGGAAUGGUUGCCAUUCAUCUAAAUCCCAUUUCUUGUACAACCCUUGCAAUUUUUUGUUCAUUUUAAAAAUUAUUAUUUUUUAGACACAGGGCCUCACUGUCGCCAGGUUGGAGUGCAGUGGCGUGAUCAUAGCUCACUGCAGCCUCAAACUCCUGGGCUCAAG